UGAUGGUCAAAAUUACAUCCUUCUCCCUCGUGUAACAUAUUAACGCUGCAUUUUCAGUUGCUUGCUGGGGGAAUUCCUGCGGACAUGCUCGAGACAGAGACAGAUCUGCUGUGCAUCACCAGCGUAUCCUCACAGUGUUUACUGUUUUGCGGGCAGCGCUGAGGUUUAUCUUUCAAGGUGUGAUGCUCACUCUGCUGCCGGUUAUGAAGCUCUACCUGGUUUUGGUUUACACGAGCUUCGUCCUCUCGUUUGUAAGUGUUUGGUAUGGAGUGCCACACUGUUUGAUGAAAUGUUUAAAUGACCUGAUUUUUUUAUCACCGCGAUUUGUCUUUGGUUCCGAACCUGACAUCAUGCGUAGCCUUCACUUCCUAAUUCCAGUCAAGUCUCAUCAUCCAUCGUGCCUUUUGACUCGUGGCCUUGUCAGGCUUUUCCAAUUAAAAAGGGCUAAUAUGCAUUUCCCACUUGAAGGGACUACUAGACAACAUCAAAUUAGUGCCUAUUAAUCUUCAAGAGAGGCCUAUCUGGUACAAGGAGAGAGUUUACCCAGAGAAUAAGGCAACUUGUACAUGAUUACAGGCAACACCAGGGGUCAGUGUGGAACCUAAGAAGGAAGAAAUGACCGAGGCCUCAAACAAUGGGGUGGGUGGGGGCGGGGGGUAGUUGUGAGGAGAAAGAACGGAACGAGGACGCAACAGCAGCACCUCGUAGGAGGACCGGGCGUGAUGAUUAGAAUGGAUGAGAAUCUGAUGCCCUUUUGAAGUGGUCUUUAGUUUGGCUUCUGUAAGACUCCUCUAGAUUUUGAUAGUAUUGCCAUUACUAAUAUUUUGCCUUGAUUAUGGAUAUUCAGUGAGUUUUUACCUGUUAAGUUAUUAUGUCAAACAAUGUAUGACAAUAUAAAUGAGAUUUUAUCUGAUAGGAUCCGAUUAGCAGUCGGUUCCAUCUCUUUGACUAUGCUGUAUUUGAACCAUAAUUCAAAAUAUAAAAAAUAGAAAAAUUCAUGGUAUGGAUGAGCUCGACGGUAUCUUAUUGUACUGGUUCCAUUUGUGAGGAGAAAGAACAGAACGAGGACGCAACAGCAGCACCUCGUAGGAGGACCGGGCGUGAUGAUUAGAAUGGAUGAGAAUCUGAUGCCCUCUUGAAGUGGUCUUUAGUUUGGCUUCUGGGUUUAUGGCUUUGCUUGGGAGAGACCAAGGCCGUGGCUGACUAAUAAUAGAAUAAGCUCAAGUUCGUACAUAGCAUUAGCCUUGUACACCCCUUUAUUUGGCUGGGGAAUUCCUGCAGACACGGUAUUAGCCUUGUACACCGCGACCUCCCUUUUCCUCUGUUUGUUCUUUGUGUGUAGUGAAGCCUCAGAUACAACUAAUGUUUAUUUACAUGGUGGCCUACUGAUCAGGGAUUCCACUAUGUGGCAUCUGGACCAAUGGCCAGGUCAUCAUACAAGGCUCGUGAAUAUUACAUUAAGUCCAUGAUAGAAGCAGACCGAGCUGCAUCAUCAUCAUUGCAUUUGACAAGUUUUGCCCCUCUACUGUCAUUAUCAUACAUUAGCUUAGCUGAGUACUUCUUGCUCAAAGUGCAUAUGUACGAUAGUGUUGGCUCUUUUAAGAAUUUCUAUGCAAAUACUAAAAGCAUCCCGUGAUUCAUUCGUAUGUGUUUCUGCAGGAGCCUAUGAUGCGUGCAGGUUGUAGGCUGUCCUUGUCAUGGCAAGGGAAUGUUUAGCAUCAGAGAAUACAAAAGUAGCUGUGUGUUUAAACUUCCUGCAACACAACAUAUAUGUAAUAUUCCAACCUCGCGCGAAAAUCUACAAGAGAAAAAUUCUUUUGUAUUCUCAGUUGAGGAUAAAUUCCCAGAGGCCUGGGAUCAGGCGGCAUUCAUAUGUGGUGUUUUUAUUCCAAUAUAUGUGGAAUUGGUAUUUUUUAAAGCAGUCUGCAGGUAAGGUAUGGUACAGUAAGAUCAAAGCUUGAUUUGUUCAUUUGGUGAGGGUUUUACAGAAGGGCUUUGGGUCUGCUGGUGCGGGGUUUUUAAAUGUGGAAAUUUCUGUGUUGUUUCCUAAGAAAUUUGCUUGUAAGGUCUGAUCUCGGAGAUUGUUGUUUGUCUAGAUGCUGAGGUUGUUUUGAUGUUUAUAAAUUUCAAAGGCAUUAUUUUCUGGUUACACAGAUCAAAUUAUUGCUUAUGUUAUCUUGAUUUGGUAUCAAAGACCUUGGUGCUUCGUAUGUUUUUUAAUGAUUCUGGUUUUGUUAAUGUUAGGGUUCCAUGCGAUCUUGUGAAUACUCCAGGUGGUUUGGAGACUGGUUGUUUGCAUAUUUUCAGUGGAGGGGUUUCAUUUUAGGUGGUUAUUAGUUCGCUUGGGAGUCUAUUAUGACUCGGAUUUGCAAAUUCCCUUGGUGUAAUAUUUGUGUUGGUCAGUUGAAAAUGUUGGUGAGUGAAAGGGUAUUUUCGAAGUUGGUCUUCUCUAGGUGCAAUUUGUAUGGUUUAUUGUUUUAUUAUCUUGCUCCUGGUUUGUGGCAAUUUCUAAUAGGAUUGGUUUUAUAAUUUUCUAUGCUUGUAAUUUUGUUUGGACAUUUAUUAUUUUAUAGUUAUUGUGUUUAUUUGUUGGAGUGUGUUCCGAGAAAUAUUUUGUUUGGAAAUUGGACCUGAUACUUAAGAGUUUUUUUAAUCUUUUUUUUUUGUUUAAUUUAUAAAGUUCAUGUGUGGUGCUGUCUCAUUUAUCGGAAAAUAUACAACUCUCAUAUAGUAACAUAAACUAGAACAUAUAUGGUGUGAA